AACGUAGGAGGCGAGCGUUAUCCGGAUUUACUGGGCGUAAAGGGCAAGUAGGCGGUAGCCAAAGUUGGGCGUGACAUCUCCCGGCCCAACUGGGAGGGGUCGUUCAAAACUAGGCUACUAGAGGGCAGGAGAGGGAAGUGGAAUUCCUAGUGUAGCGGUGGAAUGCUCAGAUAUUAGGAGGAACACCAGUGGCGAAGGCGACUUCCUGGCCUGUACCUGACGCUGAGAGGCGAAAGCUAGGGGAGCGAACGGG
rnacentral:rRNA from 1 species